GACGAACGCUGGCGGCGUGCUUAACACAUGCAAGUCGAACGGAAAGGCCCUGCUUUUGUGGGGUGCUCGAGUGGCGAACGGGUGAGUAACACGUGAGUAACCUGGCCUUGACUUUGGGAUAACUUCAGGAAACUUGGGCUAAUACCGGAUAGGAGCUCCUGCUGCAUGGUGGGGGUUGGAAAUUUUCGGCGGUUGGGGAUGGACUCGCGGCUUAUCAGCUUGUUGGUGGGGUAGUGGCUUACCAAGGCUUUGACGGGUACCCGGCCUGAGAGGGUGACCGGUCACAUUGGGACUGAUAUACGGCACAGAAGUCUAGGGGAGGCAGCAGUGGGGAAUAUUGCACAACGGGCGGCAGCCUGAUGCAGCAACGCCGCGUGCGGGAUGACGGCCUUCGGGUUGUAGACCGCUUUCGCCUAUGACGAAGCGUGAGUGACGGUAAUGGAUAAAGAAGCACCGGCUAACUACGUG
rnacentral:rRNA from 1 species